rnacentral:rRNA from 1 species
UACGGAGGAUCCGAGCGUUAUCCGGAUUUAUUGGGUUUAAAGGGAGCGUAGGUGGAUUGUUAAGUCAGUUGUGAAAGUUUGCGGCUCAACCGUAAAAUUGCGGUUGAAACUGGCAGUCUUGAGUACAGUAGAGGUGGGCGGAAUUCGUGGUGUAGCGGUGAAUGCUUAGAUAUCACGAAGAACUCCGAUUGCGAAGGCAGCUCACUGGACUGUUGACUGACACUGAGGCUCGAAAGUGUGGGUAUCAAACAGG